UAGGGAAUCUUCGGCAAUGGACGGAAGUCUGACCGAGCAACGUCGCGUGAGUGAAGAAGGUUUUCGGAUCGUAAAGCACUGUUGUAAGAGAAGAACGAGUGUGAGAGUGGAAAGUUCACACUGUGACGGUAUCUUACCAGAAAGGGACGGCUAACUACGUGCCAGCCAGCCGCGGUAAUACGUAGGUCCCGAGCGUUGUCCGGAUUUAUUGGGCGUAAAGCGAGCGCAGGCGGUUAGAUAAGUCUGAAGUUAAAGGCUGUGGCUUAACCAUAGUAGGCUUUGGAAACUGUUUAACUUGAGUGCAAGAGGGGAGAGUGGAAUUCCACAUGUAGCCGUUGAAAUGCGUAGAUAUAGGGAGGAACACCGGUGGCGAAAGCGGCUCUCUGGCUUGUAACUGACGCUGAGGCUCGAAAGCGUGGGGAGCAAACAGGAUUAGAUACCCUGGUAGUUCACCCUGUAAACGACGANUGGUAGGUGUUAGACCCUUUCCGGGGUUUAGANCCGUAGCUAACGCAAUAAACACUCCCCCUGGGGAGUACGACCGCAAGGUUG
rnacentral:rRNA from 1 species